ACAUACCUGGAUGGGCAGAGUUAGACUCGGGACAGGGGACUAUUUUCGGAAAUUCAGCACCACGGCUGGGGAUAGUGAUCUUUAACAGGCCGCGUAGAAACCAGUCUGAAGACGGCGGGUGGUGGCACCAGGCACCGGCAGAAGCGCCGAACGGUUUCUGAACGUCUGCCGGGUCCUGUUCUGCGUGCUUUAAAUGUAACGGAUUCAAAUAAACCUCAACUCGUCUCCGAGGUGUUUCUUUCCACCAUCACAUUAAUAAGGAAUCCGAGCACAGAGAGAUGAAGCAGCUGGCUCAAAGGAACUGAGCCAGUCAGCCUCGUUCCAUAGUCUGUACUUUCCGCCAUCUGUAUACCUAGAGCCAAAUACCUCCCACGCCCAGGAGCACGCGGGAGAAGCCACAGGGAAAGAUGGGAGUGGAGUCAGCGAUGUGUCCACCACAACACAGGGAUUUCAGGCCCAUGCUGACGUCCCCUGUCUUGACGUGGUCCUCAGCACUACUAUGUGUGUCACCACAGCUAAGGCUUUCCCGUCAGCUUCGCUUGUUCAGACAUCUGAUCUGGUCAGAAGUGGCCAGGGUGACGGAAACUUCUGCUGUCAGUCUCUUCAUGGUCAACGACCGCCUGUAUCUCUGUACAGCACCAGUGAUCCUCUCUUGCUUCAGAGAAAGACAAGCCACCCGACUAGCUCAGGACCCCAUUCAGGACACCACAUUACAUUUUCUGAUGCCCCUCUGGGUUCUUUGUUGUGGCAGUUCCUGAGCCUUUCCUUGAUUCGAUGGCCUUGACAGUUGUGAAGAUUACUGGUGAGGUGCUUUGUAGCAUCUCUCUCAGUUUGAAUUAGUUGAUGCUUUUCUCAUGGUUAGACCAAUGUAAUGUGUUUUGGAGGUACAGUAGUUUCAGAAUUAUUAACCUGCACUCUCUGCCUAAAGGAGAGAUAAAAUCAUCUAAGCAAAUACCCAUGACAUUAUAGCCAUCUGUUUCUCCUUUGUAAAUCUUAUGAAGAUGCCAAUUAACACGAACAAUAAACUAUAAAUGUUACAUUGUUCAUAAGAUGUCAUGAAGGAACUUAUUCUUCUCUGUGGUGUAAAAUCAACUAAAGAGUAUCAUCAAUAAUCACUACAUCAAUUGUACAGAGCUCUCUACAAUUUCUCUUGCUUCUCUUACAGACGUCAUUCAUUUCUAGUUACUUGGGUCAGCACCUUGUUCUUCCAUCCCCUCUUCACUUUACAUUUGUAAUACAUUUAGAUUCUUUGGUUACAUUCUGCAUUCCAUCCAGGGAUUCCCCCUCCUCUGGCCUCCUACUAAAUGUUUUUAAAAACUUGCAUGCAAGUAUUCACUGUUACGAUGAGCAUACAGAAUAGUUUCACUGCCCUAAAGAAAAUCCUGAGCUUUGGGGCGCCUGGGUGGCUCAGUCGAUUAAGUGUCCGACUUUGGCUCAGAUCAUGAUCCCAUGUUUCGUGAGUCCGAGCCCGGGGUCGCGCUGUGUGCUGACAGCUCGGAGCCUGGAGCCUGCUUUGGAUUCUGCGUCUCCCUCUCUCUCUGCCCCGGACUCAUGCUCUGUCUCUGUCUCUCAAAAAUAAAUGUUGAAAAAAAAAAAAAAAUCCCAAGCUUCACCUAUUCAAUCCCCACUUUUGUCCUGAUUAAGUAUCUUUAACAAAAUUCAUAAAAUGAAGUAAGUAACAUCAUAUUCUGCAGGCUAAAAAAACCAAAAAAGAUACAAAGUGGGACACUGUUAAUGGUAUGUGUUAAUCUGCCAAUUAGAAAACAUCUCAACUUUUACGCUCUUUGAGAAAGAAAAGUUGGAUCUAAUUUUUCCAUUGGAAAUUCCUGAAGUAGUUGCAUAGUUGGAUCUUCAUCUCCAAGCGUGCUGAGAUUUGUGUGAAAAUCAAAAUUUAAUAAUGUUUGCCAUUGUGAAAACCACAGAGAAUCAUACAGGCACCCCAUAGCAGCACCCCAGCAGGACGGUGAUUUCCAUGCAUUGCCCUAGAGCCAAACAGCAGUGCUAGUGUGUAUGUUAGUUCUUAGAGAUAUCCAACGUUAGGAAGGUGGAGAAAAUCAUGCAACCAGGCAAAAAAGGAGUAAGAGGAGGAGGAGGACGAGUUUGUUAGGAUUUCUUCACAGAACUUCUCUCAUGUAAGGCCCCUGUGGACAACAGGACUGGGAUCCCUUUAUGCUAGAGAGUUCUUGGUCAAAAGUAUGCUUUGGGACAAGACCAGUAAUUACAGCACUUCAAUGUGACACCACAGAGAAAUGAAAGACAGGAAAAUCCAGGAACCAGAAGAUUUAACAUCAUUUUUUUUUUUUUUUUUUUUUACUUUACCCACGUGGAGCCCAAGGUUAAGUAAAAGUGUAAAGCAGGAAUUGAAAAAAUACUUUGCUAUCUACAAAUUGAAUUUCGUGAAACAAUGUGAUAUACUAAGGGAAGGAGGUAACUUAAGUAUUACAAUUUACUCAUUAGAACUUAUACGCAAUGCUUCACAGAAUUAAAACAACUUAAAAGCUUAUGCUGAAUUCUUGUCCGGUUCUCUUUAUACACUAUGACAAAGAUGACACAAUGGAUUCAUCUAUAGACUUGUAGCUUCAAAAAUGGAUCUUCAUUUGUAAAACUGUUUACGUUGAAACAAAUAUCAGAUACCGGACAAAACAUGUGCUCCACAAGAAACUGCCUGUCCUGAAACUCUCGCAGGAAACUCUCGCGGAAAGCAUGUUCGCAUCAGAGCAGCACGCAACCGUGGCUAAAAGGAUGGCUGCGAUCAUCCAAAUGGCUAUCCAUGAUAGUACAGCCAUCCGUCUCUUUAACAGACUGUCUAGGUAAAACUUAACAUUAAGAAUUAACGGCAAGUAUUUCCUAUUCAGAAGAUGUGCAGUAACGCUGCGGUAUGCGAUAGAAGGUCAACUGGAAAUUAGUCACGUGUAAAUUAGUUACGUGUGUCCAUUUGACAGUGUCGCUGGCAAUUUACGAACCUUAACACUGAGAUACAGUAUCGUUCAGCGAAAUCUCUUUCUUAUAGCUAGUAUUUUUUCCAUCGCUGCACUCAGCAGGCUAGACAGAGCACUCCACCGCUCCCCAGA